GCCCUUGUAGUCUAGUGGCCAAGGACGACGCCCUUUCGCGGCGUAAACCCGGGUUCGAAUCCCGGCAGGGGCA
rfam:Candidatus Pacearchaeota archaeon CG1_02_39_14 cg1_0.2_scaffold_9397_c, whole genome shotgun sequence.